AUAGUAUUCCCUUCGUUUUAAAUUACUCGUUGCAGAAGUAGAUGUAUUUAAAACUAAAAUACAUCUAGAUACAUUCAUACCUGCGACAAGUAAUUCAGAACGGAGGGAGUACAUU
rnacentral:pre_miRNA from 1 species